rnacentral:miRNA from 1 species
UUAAGAAUGAUCCAUGAAUUCUAUUGUCCUUCAUUCCACCGGAGUCUGUCUCAUACCUAAUCAGAUUUCAGUGGCGUGAAGCACAAGAGACAUGGAGCUGAAUCAGCAACAAGAAGAAGGAGCACACUGACUCAUAAGGAGGAAACG